UGUACUCUCCAUCCUUCCAGGUCAUGUCAUCUCUGUACUCUCCAUCCUUCCAGGUCAUGUCCUCUCUGUACUCUCCAUCCUUCCAGGUCAUGUCAUCUCUGUACUCUCCUUCCUUCCAGGUCAUCUCUGUACUCUCCAUCCUUCCAGGUCAUGUCCUCUCUGUACUCUCCAUCCUUCCAGGUCAUGUCCUCUCUGUACUCUCCAUCCUUCCAGGUCAUGUCAUCUCUGUACUCUCCUUCCUUCCAGGUCAUCUCUGUACUCUCCAUCCUUCCAGGUCAUGUCCUCUCUGUACUCUCCAUCCUUCCAGGUCAUGUCAUCUCUGUACUCUCCAUCCUUCCAGGUCAUGUCCUCUCUGUACUCUCCAUCCUUCCAGGUCAUGUCAUCUCUGUACUCUCCUUCCUUCCAGGUCAUCUCUGUACUCUCCAUCCUUCCAGGUCAUGUCCUCUCUGUACUCUCCAU